AAGCUUAGGAUAAAUUUAAACCAAGGACCUUCAAAGCCCUAAAUAGGGGCCCCACCCCUAGCUUCU
rnacentral:tRNA from 1 species